UUUAAUUGCAACCAUAAGUUUUCGCGUCCAACUUUGAUCGUCCGUCUUAUUUAAUUUCUUUUAUAAUUAAUAUUUUUGUUAUGAGAUGAUAAAUCACAUGACAUAUGUUUUUAAAAUUUUUUUAAAAAAAAUUCAAAUAAGAUGGACGAUCAAAGUUGGGCGAGGAAAACAAUGGCUACACUUGAA
rfam:Oryza meridionalis cultivar OR44 (W2112) chromosome 2, whole genome shotgun sequence.